rnacentral:rRNA from 1 species
UACGUAGGGUGCAAGCGUUAAUCGGAAUUACUGGGCGUAAAGCGUGCGCAGGCGGCUUUGCAAGACAGAUGUGAAAUCCCCGGGCUCAACCUGGGAACUGCAUUUGUGACUGCAUGGCUGGAGUGCGGCAGAGGGGGGUAGAAUUCCACGUGUAGCAGUGAAAUGCGUAGAGAUGUGGAGGAACACCGAUGGCGAAGGCAAUCCCCUGGGCCUGCACUGACGCUCAUGCACGAAAGCGUGGGGAGCAAACAGG